rnacentral:rRNA from 1 species
AUACAGUAAGCGGCUAAGCGAAAGCGUUAAGUGAUCCACCUGGGGAGUACGAUCGCAAGGUUGAAACUCAAAGGAAUUGACGGGGGCCCGCACAAGCGGAGGAACAUGUGGUUUAAUUCGAUGAUACGCGAGGAACCUUACCUGGGCUUAAAUGGGGAGUGACAGCUGCUGAAAGGUGGUUUUCUUCGGACACUCUUCAAGGUGCUGCAUGGUUGUCGUCAGCUCGUGCCGUGAGGUGUCGGGUUAAGUCCCAUAACGAGCGCAACCCUUACUGUUAGUUGCCAGCGGGUAAAGCCGGGGACUCUAGCGGGACUGCCACCGUAAGGUGAGAGGAAGGUGGGGAUGACGUCAAAUCAGCACGGCCCUUAUGUCCAGGGCUACACACGUGUUACAAUGGCCGGUACAAAGGGCAGCUACACCUGCGAAGGUGAUGCUAAUCUCGAAAGCCGGUCCCACGUUCGGAUACGGGGUUCUGCAAACCUCGACCUUCGUGAAAGUUGGAUACGCUAUGUAAUCGCG